rnacentral:rRNA from 1 species
AUACGGAGGGUGCAAGCGUUACUCGGAAUCACUGGGCGUAAAGCGCGCGCAGGCGGUCUUUUAAGUUGGAUGUGAAAGCCUACGGCUCAACCGUAGAACUGCAUCCAAAACUAUUAGGCUAGAGUGUGGGAGAGGAAGAUGGAAUUAGUUGUGUAGGGGUAAAAUCCGUAGAGAUAACUAGGAAUACCAAAAGCGAAGGCAAUCUUCUGGAACACUACUGACGCUGAGGCGCGAAAGCGUGGGGAGCAAACGGGAUUAGAAACCCUAGUAGUCC